CGGUAACCGGAUAUUUGUGAUGGAUAUAUAAAGAUGAUAACUUUUGCCGAUUAGCCCGUUUUUUCAUGGAGAAGUAAAGAAAAAAGGCACACCGACCAACGGUCCGGAUUUGAUCUCAUUUGCAUGUGCAGCCUUUACAGUUGUUCAAACA